rnacentral:tRNA from 1 species
GCCCGGGUGGCGAAAUCGGUAGACGCAGGGGACUUAAAAUCCCCCGGCCCUGGCCGUGCCGGUUCGAGUCCGGCCCCGGGCACCA